rnacentral:piRNA from 1 species
UGGAUGAAGGGAAUGUGCCCCUAACGC